CUGAUGUUAGCGGCGGACGGGUGAGUAACACGUGGAUAACCUACCUAUAAGACUGGGAUAACUUCGGGAAACCGGAGCUAAUACCGGAUAAUAUUUUGAACCGCAUGGUUCAAAAGUGAAAGACGGUCUUGCUGUCACUUAUAGAUGGAUCCGCGCUGCAUUAGCUAGUUGGUAAGGUAACGGCUUACCAAGGCAACGAUGCAUAGCCGACCUGAGAGGGUGAUCGGCCACACUGGAACUGAGACACGGUCCAGACUCCUACGGGAGGCAGCAGUAGGGAAUCUUCCGCAAUGGGCGAAAGCCUGACGGAGCAACGCCGCGUGAGUGAUGAAGGUCUUCGGAUCGUAAAACUCUGUUAUUAGGGAAGAACAUAUGUGUAAGUAACUGUGCACAUCUUGACGGUACCUAAUCAGAAAGCCACGGCUAACUACGUGCCAGCAGCCGCGGUAAUACGUAGGUGGCAAGCGUUAUCCGGAAUUAUUGGGCGUAAAGCGCGCGUAGGCGGUUUUUUAAGUCUGAUGUGAAAGCCCACGGCUCAACCGUGGCAGGGUCAUUGGAAACUGGAAAACUUGAGUGCAGAAGAGGAAAGUGGAAUUCCAUGUGUAGCGGUGAAAUGCGCAGAGAUAUGGAGGAACACCAGUGGCGAAGGCGACUUUCUGGUCUGUAACUGACGCUGAUGUGCGAAAGCGUGGGGAUCAAACAGGAUUAGAUACCUGGUAGUCCACGCCGUAAACGAUGAAUGCUAGGUGUUGGGGGUCAAACCUCGGUGCCGAAGUUUAACACAUAAGCAUUCCGCCUGGGGAGUACGCUACGCAAGUG
rnacentral:rRNA from 1 species